rnacentral:rRNA from 1 species
UUUCGCAAUGCCCGAAAGGGUGACGAAGCGACGCCGCGUGGGGGAAGAAGGCCUUCGGGUUGUAAACCCCUGUCAGGAGCCAGGAAAUGCAGGGUGUGAAUAGCGCCCUGUUUGACUACAGCUCCAGAGGAAGCCAUGGCUAACUCUGUGCCAGCAGCCGCGGUAAUACAGAGGUGGCAAGCGUUGUUCGGAAUUAUUGGGCGUAAAGAGCACGUAGGUGGGUUUGUAAGUCAGAUGUGAAAGCCUUCUGUUCAACGGAAGAAUUGCAUCUGAAACUGCGAGUCUUGAGUGUAGGAGGGGAGAAUGGAACUUCUGGUGAGCGGUGAAAUGCGUAGAUAUCAGAAGGAACGCCGGCGGCGAAAGCGAUUCUCUGGCCUAUUACUGACACUCAGUGUGCGAAAGCUAGGGGAGCAAACGGGAUUAGAUACCCCGGUAGUCCUAGCCGUAAACGAUGGGCACUAAGUAGAGGGGUUUU